rnacentral:rRNA from 1 species
AGUGGGGAAUAUUGGACAAUGGGCGAAAGCCUGAUCCAGCAAUGCCGCGUGAGUGAUGAAGGCCUUAGGGUUGUAAAGCUCUUUUACCCGGGAUGAUAAUGACAGUACCGGGAGAAUAAGCCCCGGCUAACUCCGUGCCAGCAGCCGCGGUAAUACGGAGGGGGCUAGCGUUGUUCGGAAUUACUGGGCGUAAAGCGCACGUAGGCGGCUUUGUAAGUUAGAGGUGAAAGCCUGGAGCUCAACUCCAGAAUUGCCUUUAAGACUGCAUCGCUUGAAUCCGGGAGAGGUGAGUGGAAUUCCGAGUGUAGAGGUGAAAUUCGUAGAUAUUCGGAAGAACACCAGUGGCGAAGGCGGCUCACUGGACCGGUAUUGACGCUGAGGUGCGAAAGCGUGGGGAGCAAA